GCCGUCGUAGCUCAGAUGGUAGAGCACCUCGCUGUUAGGGUGAGUAGUCCUCGACUGCUGACCGCAGAUACGAGGUGGUCCCAGGUUCGAGUCCUGGCGACGGCG
rfam:Halogranum salarium B-1 162.HSB1.1_3, whole genome shotgun sequence.